GCCACUGUAGCUCAUAGGUAGAGCAUCUCCUUGGUAAGGAGAAGGUAACGAGUUCAAGUCUCGUCAGAGGCU
rnacentral:tRNA from 1 species